rnacentral:lncRNA from 1 species
UUAAUAUUAUUCAAUUGCGGAGCACGAAAAGCUUACGCGCAAAUUAUCAACAACUUCAAAAUUGUCAAUAGAAGAGGUUCUAGCACGUACAGUUCUGAUGUUUUACUACAAUUUGAUGUCCAACACAAUGUAAUGUUAUGCUGCAGACAUCGCCGUAGUGUACAACACUGGACAAUCGUAUUUAUAGAUGGUGUUCAUUUCAACAACCUGGGAUUUGAAAUUUUUCCACAAUGUGAGACAAAUGAUUUUGAAGUGCAUUGCAGAUAUGUAAUUCACACAUGUACUGGAAGAUACUGUAUUCGAAUUGGUGGCACAGUUGUAUCUAUAUUAUCAUAUAACAACAGCGAAGGCUGCUGCAGCUGGGGAAGCAGCUAAACCGAACGAAGAACAAACCAAAUUGAGCAGGUUUUAGAAGCUAACACAUCCAAUUUAUCAGAAAAAGACUUGAACACAAUUAUAUCAAAUGUUGUUCCUGCUGUCACACAAGGUAUGUCGUAGGUUUUAAAAGACUUGAAGGUACUACCGCCUGACUAUUCAGAACCAAAACUUCGGAAAAGAACAGAUACCUUUGGAAUCCACACAAAGCACUUCAACAUCUGCUUCAACACCAACUUUGCCAGCUUCAGUUAUGAAUCAAAAUUCUGCCACAUUUUGCAUCCACUUUUUCUUGGUAUUGAUGAAAAAAUUAAAGCUAAGAUUGUAUAUCAGAUCAGUUUGUGGAGUUAGAUUCCAUAUAAAAUAAAGGUGGUUAUCAAUAUCAUUUAGUCGAAAUGGCAGUGGGAAACUCUCGUUCAAAAAAGUUUUAAAUCGUCGACCAGUAUAAAAAUGCUGGAUCAAGGGUUUAAUACAUUUCAUAUUUUUACAAGUGUUUACACAGACAGACACCCAACAUCUGCUGCUACUUUAAUGAAACAUUGCGACACAGUUCGUAAACUUGCAAAGCAAUCGGGGGAUUCCACUGCCAUUUUUACGAUAGACAAUUUAGUCUCUUAUAAGAAGCAAGAUUGGCUUCGAUUUCAUAUGGGGAAAUCGAUACCCAGUUAUACACGCAGGCACUGGUCAUGGGGUUAAUUAAGCCGAAACAAAAACAGUCUUUUCUUGGCGCAAGAUCCCACAAAAACAACGCGUGCUUUGAUUUUAACAACGGGUCUAGUGCCAGAAAAUAGUGCAUCUUUCAGCACAGAUGUCAAAAGUGCCCCGGUCCUCAUGGACGAAUUGUGUGUUUUUUAAAAGGUGCAAUCAAAUUUCAAGUCAAAGAACUGAUAACGUAACCCUAUGCAUGGUGCCUGCAGUCUUAAAUAAGGCUACUUUUCAUAUUGUUACACCAAUUAAUUCUGAUAACCUACGAUACUGGCUCCAAGGUGCGACUUGAAAUUAACUGAAUAUUUGAUGAAUGGCUUCACAAGGGCUUUAAAAUACCUUUUUACAGGUACUCGUUCUAAUAAAUUUCCUGGGAAUUUAAAAUCUGCGACUGAAAAUUUAGAGGGCAUAAAAUCACUGUUGAAAUUGAUGCGUUUCGUGUUCCGGGUCCUUUGAAUGAACCACCUUUCAUCAACUUUAUGACUUCAACUCUGGGUUUAGUACCAAAUC